AACGAACGCUUGCGGCGCGCCUAAUACAUGCAAGUCGAACGAGGUAGCAAUACCAAGUGGCGCACGGGUGAGUAACGCGUGGAUAAUCUGCCUAUCAGUGGGGAAUAACUAUCCGAAAGGAUAGCUAAUACCGCAUGAGGCCACAGGAUCUGAGGAUCUAGGGGUUAAAGAUUUAUCGCUGAUAGAUGAGUCUGCGUGGGAUUAGCUAGUUGGUGGGGUAACGGCCUACCAAGGCAACGAUCUCUAACUGGUCUGAGAGGAUGACCAGUCACACUGGAACUGAGACACGGUCCAGACUCCUACGGGAGGCAGCAGUAGGGAAUAUUGCGCAAUGGGGGAAACCCUGACGCAGCGACGCCGCGUGAGUGAUGAAGGCCUUAGGGUCGUAAAGCUCUGUUGAAUGGGAAGAAAAAAAUGACGGUACCAUUCGAGAAAGGAUCGGCUAACUUCGUGCCAGCAGCCGCGGUAAGACGAGGGAUCCUAGCGUUGUUCGGAAUCAUUGGGCGUAAAGCGUGUGUAGGCGGCCAUUCAAGUCAGUUGUGAAAGCCCCGGGCUUAACCCGGGAAGUGCUUCUGAUACUGUUUGGCUUGAGUACUGGAGAGGAUAGUAGAAUUCCAGGUGUAGUGGUGAAAUACGUAGAUAUCUGGAGGAAUACCGGUGGCGAAGGCGGCUAUCUGGCCAUGUACUGACGCUGAGACACGAAAGCGUGGGGAGCAAACAGGAUUAGAUACCCUGGUAGUCCACGCCGUAAACGAUGGAUACUUGGUGUUGGAGGUAUUGACCCCUUCAGUGCCGAAGCAAACGCGUUAAGUAUCCCGCCUGGGGAGUACGGUCGCAAGAUUA
rnacentral:rRNA from 1 species